rnacentral:rRNA from 1 species
GAUGAACGCUGGCGGCGUGCCUAAUACAUGCAAGUCGAGCGAACGGACGAGAAGCUUGCUUCUCUGAUGUUAGCGGCGGACGGGUUAGUAACACGUGGAUAACCUACCUAUAAGACUGGGAUAACUUCGGGAAACCGGAGCUAAUACCGGAUAAUAUUUUGAACCGCAUGGUUCAAAAGUGAAAGACGGUCUUGCUGUCACUUAUAGAUGGAUCCGCGCUGCAUUAGCUAGUUGGUAAGGUAACGGCUUACCAAGGCAACGAUGCAUAGCCGACCUGAGAGGGUGAUCGGCCACACUGGAACUGAGAAACGGUCCAGACUCCUACGGGAGGAAGCAGUAGGGAAUCUUCCGCAAUGGGCGAAAGCCUGACGGAGCAACGCCGCGUGAGUGAUGAAGGUCUUCGGAUCGUAAAACUAUGUUAUUAGGGAAGAACAUAUGUGUAAGUAACAGUGCACAUCUUGACGGUACCUAAUCAGAAAGCCACGGCUAACUACGUG